UGACAGUGAGCGCUCAUUAAUCACAAACCAGGUCGUAAUGACAGUGAGCGCUCAUUAAUCACAAACCAGGUCGUAAUGACAGUGAGCACUCAUUAAUCACAAACCAGGUCGUAAUGACAGUGAGCACUCAUUAAUCACAAACCAGGUCGUAAUGACAGUGAGCACUCAUUAAUCACAAACCAGGUCGUAAUGACAGUGAGCACUCAUUAAUCACAAACCAGGUCGUAAUGACAGUGAGCACUCAUUAAUCACAAACCAGGUCGUAAUGACAGUGAGCACUCAUUAAUCACAAACCAGGUCGUAAUGACAGUGAGCACUCAUUAAUCACAAACCAGGUCGUAAUGACAGUGAGCACUCAUUAAUCACAAACCAGGUCGUAAUGACAGCGAGCACUCAUUAAUCACAAACCAGGUCGGAAUGACAGCGAGCGCUCAUUAAUCACAAACCAGGUCGUAAUGACAGCGAGCACUCAUUAAUCACAAACCAGGUCGUAAUGACAGUGAGCGCUCAUUAAUCACAAACCAGGUCGGAAUGACAGUGAGCGCUCAUUAAUCACAAACCAGGUCGUAAUGACAGUGAGCGCUCAUUAAUCACAAACCAGGUCGUAAUGACAGUGAGCACUCAUUAAUCACAAAACAGGGGCAAGAGGUCAGAGAUUUUAAAAAACAAACAUUUAAUGGUAGAAAUGAACAGAAUUGAAGGGUUUUUAAAAUGAAUUACAGUACAUUGCCGUCGUCAUUAUACUGUAGAAAAGUAAUGAAUGCAUGGUCUUACGCACUCUCGAUCGCAACGAUAUUUACCAUUCUCAAAUCUUUACAUUGGUGAUCUGGUAUGUUCCUAUUCAUCCAGUCUCCCAAAACAUUCGGCAGCCCCAAAAGAGUUCCUAUCAGUACUGCAUCAUAUCAGCAACUAGAUUAGAUAUACGUUGGUACAAACUUGAUAUGACAUGUUUCGUCAACCACUAGGUAGAAGCAAAGGACAAGAGGACGAGGUCUUUGGGUUUCUUGGCUGACAAUGAGUUUUGAGUGUGACUGGAACUCAGCAACGUCCUUCAGUUUCUCUCACUGGGAAAAGUUCUAGCCUGGAACCAGUUCUGUUUGUGCUGUCUUCAAAAAAAACUGUGGUCGUCACGCCAAACAAUGACUGUAGGAGUUGGAGCAAGAAAAGCACAAAUAGAUCCUGGAACAAGUUAGUAACAUUCCUCUCUGUGUUUCGCUACUUUUUUAUGUUCUCAAAAACCAGUUUUAGUACACUACUUACAAUGUGGUCAAGAAAGAUCAAAUAUCAUGCACCUUCUAGCUUGUCGAGCUAGCAAUGCCAGUUACUAAUGCCAGUUACUAAUGCCAGUUACCAAUGCCAGUUACCAAUGCCAGUUACCAAUGCCAGUUACUAAUGCCAGUUACUAAUGCCAGUUACCAAUGCCAGUUACCAAUGCCAGUUACUAAAGCCAGUUACUAAUGCCAGUUACCAAUGCCACCAGUUACUAAAGCCAGUUACUAAUGCCAGUUACUAAUGCCAGUUACUAAUGCCAGUUACUAAAGCCAGUUACUAAUGCCAGUUACCAAUGCCAGUUACUAAUGCCAGUUACUAAUGCCAGUUACUAAAGCCAGUUACUAAUGCCAGUUACCAAUGCCAGUUACUAAAGCCAGUUACUAAUGCCAGUUACCAAUGCCAGUUACUAAUGCCAGUUACCAAUGCCAGUUACUAAUGCCAGUUACUAAUGCCAGUUACCAAUGCCAGUUACCAAUGCCAGUUACUAAUGCCACCAGUUACUAAUGCCAGUUACUAAUGCCAGUUACUAAUGCCAGUUACCAAUGCCAGUUACUAAUGCCAGUUACUAAUGCCAGUUACCAAUGCCAGUUACUAAUGCCAGUUACUAAUGCCAGUUACCAAUGCCACCAGUUACUAAUGCCAGUUACCAAUGCCACCAGUUAUCAAUGCCAGUUACUAAUGCCAGUUACUAAUGCCAGUUACUAAUGCCAGUUACCAAUGCCACCAGUUACUAAUGCCAGUUACCAAUGCCACCAGUUACUAAUGCCAGUUACUAAUGCCAGUUACCAAUGCCACCAGUUACUAAUGCCAGUUACCAAUGCCACCAGUUACCAAUGCCAGUUACCAAUGCCAGUUACCAAUGCCAGUUACUAAUGCCAGUUACUAAUGCCAGUUACUAAUGCCAGUUACUAAAGCCAGUUACCAAUGCCAGUUACUAAUGCCAGUUACUAAUGCCAGUUACCAAUGCCAGUUACCAAUGCCAGUUACUAAUGCCAGUUACUAAUGCCAGUUACUAAUGCCAGUUACCAAUGCCAGUUACCAAUGCCAGUUACCAAUGCCAGUUACCAAUGCCAGUUACUAAUGCCAGUUACUAAUGCCAGUUACCAAUGCCAGUUACCAAUGCCAGUUACUAAUGCCAGUUACUAAUGCCAGUUACUAAUGCCAGUUACUAUUGCCAGUUACUAAUGCCACCAGUUACUAAUGCCAGUUACUAAUGCCAGUUACUAAUGCCAGUUACCAAUGCCAGUUACUAAUGCCAGUUACUAAUGCCAGUUACUAAUGCCAGUUACCAAUGCCAGUUACCAAUGCCAGUUACUAAUGCCAGUUACUAAUGCCAGUUACCAAUGCCAGUUACCAAUGCCAGUUACUAAUGCCAGUUACCAAUGCCAGUUACUAAUGCCAGUUACUAAUGCCAGUUACCAAUGCCAGUUACUAAUGCCAGUUACUAAUGCCAGUUACUAAUGCCAGUUACUAAUGCCAGUUACUAAUGCCAGUUACCAAUGCCAGUUACCAAUGCCAGUUACUAAUGCCAGUUACUAAUGCCAGUUACUAAUGCCAGUUACUAAUGCCAGUUACCAAUGCCAGUUACUAAUGCCAGUUACCAAUGCCAGUUACUAAAGCCAGUUACUAAUGCCAUUUACCAAUGCCAGUUACUAAUGCCAGUUACUAAUGCCAGUUACUAAUGCCAGUUACUAAUGCCAGUUACCAAUGCCAGUUACCAAUGCCAGUUACUAAUGCCAGUUACCAAUGCCAGUUACUAAAGCCAGUUACCAAUGCCAGUUACUAUUGCCAGUUACUAAUGCCAGUUACUAAAGCCAGGCAAGCAUAAAGAUGUUUGGAAAAAUUAGAAAAGCUACAACUUAGUUUCUUUCCAGGCGAACAAUUAGCUGUAUUAUCUUUCUAAGUCAUCUGAGUGUGUUACGUACCGGUGAGCAGUCGACAAGUAAACAAGCGUCUCUUUACGAUUUCUCAGAAAACAUGUUUGCAAGUGGGAAAACCUCUGCCUCCACUAGCUUGUUAUUGAGAAAGACUAUAUUUAGGCCUAUUAUUAGCCCUUUAUCUCUCAUGUGGUCAAGAAAAUUCCUGCCUUCUCUUCAAAAAUCUAUUUGUGAAGCUAUUUUCUUGGUCCCCAGAGCAGCAAACCCCAAAACACGUUUCACUUGUAAUUAUCUGAGCAUUACUCCAAAUAUUUUCCCUGCCCCAGGAUACCUUCCAAAUGGCACCUUUCCCUACGUAGUGCACUACUGUUGACCGUGGGCCCAUAGGAUAGUGCCCUACUGUUGACCAGGGCCCAUAGGGUAGUACACUACUGUUGACCAGGGCCCAUAGGGUGCCAUUUGGGACACAUAUCCAGAGUCCCAUUUAUACCCUGUGUUGGAAAGCACCAGUUGUGUCUAUGAAGUAGAAAGCACUCAUUGUUUUGGAGAAUUCUCAUAAGAACAAUCACCGUCUCUGUUCAGGCUUGUAUUAUUGCCCACGGAACUGGCCCUGGCCACAGAAUUAUAGACAGUUUCUUUUUCUCCUUUCUCUCUCACUCUCUCUCUUUCCCUUGCUUAUGUAUCUUUCCUUUCUCAUAACUUCUCAUACCCUCUCUCUCUUUCCUUCUCUCUCUGUCUUUCACCUUCUCUCUCUCUCUCUCUCUCUCUCUCUCUCUCUCUCUCUCUCAAUUCAACUCAAUUCAUAUUAAGGGUUUUUAUUGGCAUGGGAAACAUGUUUACAUUGCCAAAGCAAGUGAAAUAGAAAGUAAACAAAUGUGAAAUAAACAAUAAAAAAAACAUUUGAAAUGUCAUAGGUUUUUUCUCUCCCACUCUCAUUUCUCUCUCUCUCCCAUUCUCCUCUCUCACUAUCUUUCUCUCUCUCUCUCUCUCUCUCUCUAUCUAUCUCUCUCUCUAUCCCUCUCCUCUCCUCCUCUCCUCUCCUCUCAUCUCCUCUCCUCUCCUCUCCUCUCCUCUCUUCUCAAUUAAUUUCAAUGGCAUAACAACGAGUGUUACGUGUACUGUAGUUAUCUUCAUGUACGAAUUAUAAAACGUUGAGAUUGAAGACAAGUGUUUUUCUACGCAUCAAGUUUUUCUUAAAGGUUAGAGUUUAACAAGCUUUUGAGGCAUUACAUGUGAUCAUCCCUAUGCAUUUCAAAGGUCAAAGGUCAAAUUGAUGUAUGCAAUGAUAGUGUGUAUUUGAAGAGUUUAUUUCCAAAACCCUAUAUCCACCAAUUUUUGUAUUUUUUUUUUUACAUUUGUGUUUUUCAUCUGAAGUGAUUGCUUGUGGGUACCUUCAUGUGUUCGUAAAAUAUUACUAUUCUCAAAAAAAAUGUAUUAAACAUUUUUAGAUGCAUAUGAUUUUUAUUAUUAGUUUCAUUGCCAAACACUAUAUAUCCAUUGUUAGGCCUGAAUAGACUGUUUGUAUCCUGUAUAUUUGACUGUGAUAUGUGGUUAGCUAUCUUAACAUAAAUGCACUGGAUAAGAGCAUCUGCAAAAUGACAAAAAAAUGUCAAAUGUAAAUGUUUUACAUAAAUAUCUCAUAUUAAUGUAUUCAAUUAUUUGUUUAAAAUAUAUAUAUAUAUAUUGAUGUCAACAAAUGCAUCAUUUACACCUUCCUUCAUUAAAAAUCUGGGUCAUUUGUUACAUUUGACUGUGUGAAACUGGAUAUGUAAGCAUUUUACAACAAAAAUCAUGAAUAUGUCUCUAAAAAUGAAACCGUCAAGUGAUUAUAAACAAAUUCAUGUCUGUCACUGAACAACCCCAUGCCAUGAUAAGAUAGUGAAAAAAAAUACACCAAUCUCUUUCAAUAUUUAUUUAAACAAUAAACGCCAAUUUACCAACAUUUCUGGAAAUGGAUAUAUAGCGUUUUGGAAUGAAACUCUUCAUUUUUUUUAAUGUGUAAAAUUAAUGUUCUAUUCUCUUUAUAGUAUUUUUAUAUGAUAUUUUCUCCCUUAAUGGAUCGGAGCACAAUAAAAAAAGAGGUUAUUGAGAUUUUGUAUGAGGAAAAUACUGCUACACCUUGAAGAGAAAAAGAUGACUAAAUAAACAAAGACAUGUU